rnacentral:rRNA from 1 species
GAUGAACGCUGGCGGCGGGCCUAAUACAUGCAAGUCGAGCGAACGGAGGGGGAUCGUGCUUGUCUUAAGUGAGCGGCGGACGGGUAAGGAACACGUGUAUAACCGGUCGAGGGGGCUGAGGUAAGGUCGCGAGAGCUGAUCUAAUAUAGGAUAAGAGGGUGAAAGGCAUGGUUCAAAAGUGAAAGAGGUUCUUGAUGUGACUUAUAGAUAGAUCCUGGCUGCAUUAGCUAGUGGGUAAGGUAACGGCUUACCAAGGCAACGAUGCGUAGCCGACCUGAGAGGAUGAUCGGCCACACUGGAACUGAGACACGGUCCAGACUCCUACGGGAGGCAGCAGUAGGGAAUAUUCCGCAAUGGGCGAAAGCCUGACGGAGCAACGCCGCGUGAGUGAUGAAGGUCUUCGGAUCGUAAAACUCUGUUAUUAGGGAAGAACAUAAGUAUAAGUAACUGUUCAUAUCUUGACGUUACCUACUCAGAAAGCAACGGCUAACUACGUG